AGAGUUUGAUCCUGGCUCAGGAUGAACGCUGGCGGCGUGCCUAAUACAUGCAAGUCGAGCGAACAGACGAGGAGCUUGCUCCUCUGACGUUAGCGGCGGACGGGUGAGUAACACGUGGAUAACCUACCUAUAAGACUGGGAUAACUUCGGGAAACCGGAGCUAAUACCGGAUAAUAUAUUGAACCGCAUGGUUCAAUAGUGAAAGACGGUUUUGCUGUCACUUAUAGAUGGAUCCGCGCCGCAUUAGCUAGUUGGUAAGGUAACGGCUUACCAAGGCAACGAUGCGUAGCCGACCUGAGAGGGUGAUCGGCCACACUGGAACUGAGACACGGUCCAGACUCCUACGGGAGGCAGCAGUAGGGAAUCUUCCGCAAUGGGCGAAAGCCUGACGGAGCAACGCCGCGUGAGUGAUGAAGGUCUUCGGAUCGUAAAACUCUGUUAUUAGGGAAGAACAAAUGUGUAAGUAACUAUGCACGUCUUGACGGUACCUAAUCAGAAAGCCACGGCUAACUACGUGCCAGCAGCCGCGGUAAUACGUAGGUGGCAAGCGUUAUCCGGAAUUAUUGGGCGUAAAGCGCGCGUAGGCGGUUUUUUAAGUCUGAUGUGAAAGCCCACGGCUCAACCGUGGAGGGUCAUUGGAAACUGGAAAACUUGAGUGCAGAAGAGGAAAGUGGAAUUCCAUGUGUAGCGGUGAAAUGCGCAGAGAUAUGGAGGAACACCAGUGGCGAAGGCGACUUUCUGGUCUGUAACUGACGCUGAUGUGCGAAAGCGUGGGGAUCAAACAGGAUUAGAUACCCUGGUAGUCCACGCCGUAAACGAUGAGUGCUAAGUGUUAGGGGGUUUCCGCCCCUUAGUGCUGCAGCUAACGCAUUAAGCACUCCGCCUGGGGAGUACGACCGCAAGGUUGAAACUCAAAGGAAUUGACGGG
rnacentral:rRNA from 2 species